rnacentral:rRNA from 1 species
ACUCCUACGGGAGGCAGCAGUGGGGAAUAUUGCACAAUGGGCGCAAGCCUGAUGCAGCCAUGCCGCGUGUGUGAAGAAGGCCUUCGGGUUGUAAAGCACUUUCAGUCGUGAGGAAGGUGUAGUGUUAAUAGCACUANCAUUUGACGUUAGCGACAGAAGAAGCACCGGGCUAACUCCGUGCCAGCAGCCGCGGUAAUACGGAGGGUGCGAGCGUUAAUCGGAAUUACUGGGCGUAAAGCGCAUGCAGGUGGUUUGUUAAGUCAGAUGUGAAAGCCC